rnacentral:lncRNA from 1 species
UCUCACACCCCACUCUCUCUCUCUCUCUCCACACGUCAGCUCACCCCCCAGCCACCCCGGUCGGACCCUCCUCCUCCCCACACCGCUGCCGUCGAGCCCCCAGCCGCCCUCUACUGCUGAGAUCCAGGUCGCCGCCGCCGAUUGACCAUGGUGGAGAAGGCGGCGUGUGCCUUCGGCGAAGAUCUGGGCAACGCCAAGUUCAAUUU